rnacentral:rRNA from 1 species
AUAAGCGGAGGAAAAGAAACCAACCGGGAUUGCCUCAGUAACGGCGAGUGAAGCGGCAAGAGCUCAAAUUUGAAAGCUGGCUCCUUCGGGGUCCGCAUUGUAAUUUGCAGAGGAUGCUUCGGGUGCGGCCCCUGUCUAAGUGCCCUGGAACGGGCCGUCAGAGAGGGUGAGAAUCCCGUCUGGGAUGGGGUGUCCGCGCCCGUGUGAAGCUCCUUCGACGAGUCGAGUUGUUUGGGAAUGCAGCUCUAAAUGGGUGGUAAAUUUCAUCUAAAGCUAAAUACUGGCCGGAGACCGAUAGCGCACAAGUAGAGUGAUCGAAAGAUGAAAAGCACUUUGAAAAGAGAGUUAAAAAGCACGUGAAAUUGUUGAAAGGGAAGCGCUUGCGACCAGACUCGCCUCCAGGGUUCAGCCGGCAUUCGUGCCGGUGUACUUCCCUGGGGGCGGGCCAGCGUCGGUUUGGGCGGCCGGUCAAAGGCUCCCGGAAUGUAGUGCCCUCCGGGGCACCUUAUAGCCGGGAGUGCAAUGCGGCCAGCCUGGACCGAGGAACGCGCUUCGGCACGGACGCUGGCAUAAUGGUCGUAAACGACCCGUCUUGAAACACGGACCAAGGAGUCUAACAUCUACGCGAGUGUUCGGGUGUCAAACCCGUACGCGCAGUGAAAGCGAACGGAGGUGGGAGCCCCCUCGUGGGGCGCACCAUCGACCGAUCCUGAUGUCUUCGGAUGGAUUUGAGUAAGAGCGUAAAUGUGGGGACCCGAAAGAUGGUGAACUAUGCCUGAAUAGGGCGAAGCCAGAGGAAACUCUGGUGGAGGCUCGCAGCGGUUCUGACGUGCAAAUCGAUCGUCAAAUUUGGGUAUAGGGGCGAAAGACUAAUCGAACCAUCUAGUAGCUGGUUCCUGCCGAUUU